UGGUACACGUUCGGUGGAGGAACCAGACUGGAUGUUGGAAGUGAUGUCCGUCCCACCCUGACGGUGCUGCCUCCCUCCAGCCAGGAGCUGCAGCAGGGGAAGGCCACGCUCACGUGUCUGGCCAACAAGGGCUUCCCCUCAGACUGGAGUCUGGCCUGGAAGGUGGACGGCAGCAGCAGCAGCAGCUGGGAGCAGAGCAGGAGCCCCGGGGUGCUGCAGCAGGACGGCCACUACAGCUGGAGCAGCACCCUGAGGCUCACUGCAGACCAGUGGAGGAAGGUGGGCUCUGUGACCUGUGAGGCCACCCAGGGCUCCCAGUCUCCACUCUCAGAGACACUGAGGAGAGACCAGUGUUCCCAGUCCUGACCUGACUCACUGGGACUCUGCUACUGGUUUAACUCUGCUACUGCUCUCAC